UACAGAGGUCCCAAGCGUUGUUCGGAUUCACUGGGCGUAAAGGGUGCGUAGGCGGUCGGGUAAGUCUGAUGUGAAAUCUCCAAGCUUAACUUGGAAAUGGCAUCGGAUACUAUUCGGCUCGAGGAAUGGAGGGGAGACUGGAAUACUUGGUGUAGCAGUGAAAUGCGUAGAUAUCAAGUGGAACACCAGUGGCGAAGGCGGCUUUCUGGGCCUUACCUGACGCUGAGACGCGAAAGCGUGGGGAGCGAACCGG
rnacentral:rRNA from 1 species